GGGUACUGUUGAAGGCUUCGAUAAGGGGGCCGACAAAAGGAGAUGAGGGGGGACGGGAGAAAGAAAAGAAAAACAGAGAGAAGAAGAGACAAAAAAAAAAUAAAAGAAGAAGAGAGGAUGGGGACGAAGAAAGAGACGGGAAAGGAAGGCUAUGAUUUGGGGAUUUUUGGACUUGAGGGAGAGAAGCUAGAAGGUUUCAGUUGAUUUUCAGAAGCAAAGAUGAAGAAUUGCGAAUCUGAUCUCUUAGUGAAGGGUUUUAGCUUUGAGUUUGGUUAGUUGUUUCCGUUCUGCUCUAUGAUUCCAAAAGCAAAACUGUGGAUGGAAGGAGGAGAUUGAGGAGAGGUGUUCGCGUGUUGCAGCCUUUGUUAUUAUUAUUAUUUUUUUUGCUGGUAUUCAAAGCUUUGAGCCUUGUGGGUUUUCCUUUCUUGGUUGUUCUUGUUUUGGGUCUGCUUAAAAACUGAGGUCACUUUAGAUUUCUAUUCAAGAGAUUGUAAAGGCAGUAUUUGGAGAGUAGAAUUUUCUUUUCCAAUGUCUGUUAUUUAAGAAAAGGUUGUAAGCACUAUUUGAAGUACUUUACAUGAUUUAGUUGGUAUUCUUGUUAUCUUUUUAUUUUUGUAGAUUUCUCACUUGUGUUAUUUGAAAUCUAAUUCAUCCAAUAAUAAUGUUUUAGUCAA